AUUGAACGCUGGCGGCAGGCCUAACACAUGCAAGUCGAACGGUAACAGGAAGAAGCUUGCUUCUUUGCUGACGAGUGGCGGACGGGUGAGUAAUGUCUGGGAAACUGCCUGAUGGAGGGGGAUAACUACUGGAAACGGUAGCUAAUACCGCAUAACGUCGCAAGACCAAAGAGGGGGACCUUCGGGCCUCUUGCCAUCGGAUGUGCCCAGAUGGGAUUAGCUAGUAGGUGGGGUAACGGCUCACCUAGGCGACGAUCCCUAGCUGGUCUGAGAGGAUGACCAGCCACACUGGAACUGAGACACGGUCCAGACUCCUACGGGAGGCAGCAGUGGGGAAUAUUGCACAAUGGGCGCAAGCCUGAUGCAGCCAUGCCGCGUGUAUGAAGAAGGCCUUCGGGUUGUAAAGUACUUUGAGCGGGGAGGAAGGGAGUAAAGUUAAUACCUUGGCUCAUUGACGUUACCCGCAGAAGAAGCACCGGCUAACUCCGUG
rnacentral:rRNA from 1 species